ACCGACGCGGCUGGCGCCAGCCUGCAAACCACGCGUGGUGGCGCGUCCGGCCCCGUUGCCGGCGGCCACCGGCCUUGUUUUGUUCCAAAUUGUUUUGGAAAAUUGACACUCUAGCAUUUUCGUUGGUAUUUGACAAAUAUUGUCUAAUCAUGGACUAACUAGGCUCAAAAGAUUCGUGUCGUCAAUUCCGACCAAACUAUGUAAUUAGUUUUUAUUUUCCGCAACAGCUUGCAUGCGUCUAAAGAUUCGAUGUGACGGAGAAUCUGGAAUAUUUUGCAAAAUUUUUUGGUAACUAAACAAGGCCCUGGAGAAAGAAAAAAAAUGAAAAAACAUAAGAUUCGAUGUGACGGAGAAUCUGGAAUAUUUUGCAAAAUUUUUUGGUAACUAAACAAGGCCCUGGAGAAAGAAAAAAAAUGAAAAAACAUAUGAAAAAACAGAGUAAGAAAAAAUUCAUAAUGUAUGUAUAUUAGGCCCUGUUUAGUUCCUCACCCAAAAAUAAGACACAGAAAGAACCCUAGUACUCGCCGUUGUAACCUUUGCAGCGCUGUUGUCGUCGCNNN
rnacentral:lncRNA from 1 species